rnacentral:rRNA from 1 species
CCCCUAGACGUUCUGGGCUGCACGCGCGCUACAAUAAUACGCACAGCGAGUAUCACCGAGCUCGAAAGGGCAAGGUAAACAAUAGAAAAGGUACUGUAAUGGUUAUAGAUCCUUGUAAUUAUUGAUCUUCAACGAGGAAUUCCUAGUAAGUAUGUGUCAUCAUCACGCACUGAUUACGUCCCUGCCCUUUGUACACACCGCCCGUCGCUCCUACCGAUUGGGUGAGCCGAUGAAACUCUCUGAUGUAGGCUAUUCAUAGCCCGCAGAAGAGAUUUGAAUCGUAGCGCUUAGAGGAAGGAGAAGUCGUAACA